GGCCCUGCCCUCACGGGCGGAGCGCCCGCCGGAGGAUACCAAACUCUAUUUUAACGACGUUUCUUCUGAGUGGCACAAGCAAAUAAUUAAAACUUUCAACAACGGAUCUCUUGGUUCUGGCAUCGAUGAAGAACGCAGCGAAAUGCGAUAAGUAAUGUGAAUUGCAGAAUUCAGUGAAUCAUCGAAUCUUUGAACGCACAUUGCGCCCGCCAGCAUUCUGGCGGGCAUGCCUGUUCGAGCGUCAUUUCAACCCUCAAGCUCUGCUUGGUGUUGGGGCCCUACGGUUGACGUAGGCCCUUAAAGGUAGUGGCGGACCCUCUCGGAGCCUCCUUUGCGUAGUAACUAACGUCUCGCACUGGGAUUCGGAGGGACUCUUGCCGUAAAACCCCCAAAUUUUUAAAGGUUGACCUCGGAUCAGGUAGGAAUACCCGCUGAACUUAAGCAUAU
rnacentral:rRNA from 1 species